rnacentral:rRNA from 1 species
CUACGGGUCGCUGCAGUGGGGAAUAUUGCACAAUGGACGAAAGUCUGAUGCAGCAACGCCGCGUGGAGGAUGACACAUUUCGGUGCGUAAACUCCUUUUAUAUAAGAAGAUAAUGACGGUAUUAUAUGAAUAAGCACCGGCUAACUCCGUGCCAGCAGCCGCGGUAAUACGGGGGGUGCAAGCGUUACUCGGAAUCACUGGGCGUAAAGCGCAUGUAGGCGGACUUGUAAGUUGGAAGUGAAAUCCUAUGGCUCAACCAUAGAACUGCUCCCAAAACUGCUUGUCUAGAAUAUGGGAGAGGUAGAUGGAAUUUCUGGUGUAGGGGUAAAAUCCGUAGAGAUCAGAAGGAAUACCGAUUGCGAAGGCGAUCUACUGGAACAUUACUGACGCUCAGAUGCGAAAGCGUGGGGAGCAAACAGGAUUAGAUACCCCUGUAGUC